CGGAACGGGUGAGUAACACGUGAGUAACCUGCCCCAGAGUGGGGGACAACAGUUGGAAACGACUGCUAAUACCGCAUAAGCCCACGGAACCGCAUGGUUCAGAGGGAAAAGGAGCAAUUCGCUUUGGGAUGGACUCGCGUCCGAUUAGCUAGAUGGUGAGGUAACGGCCCACCAUGGCGACGAUCGGUAGCCGGACUGAGAGGUUGAUCGGCCACAUUGGGACUGAGACACGGCCCAG
rnacentral:rRNA from 1 species